GAUGACCAAUUAUGGACCUAAUUGAGAAAAUCCAAAACCAAGGAUCAAAUUGAAAAAGAUGCGUAAAUAGUAAGGCUGUAAUUAACCAAAUCAAGGGCUAAAUUCAAGAAAUUGAAAAUUUAUUGAUCAAUUGAGGGUCAAAUUCCAUAAAUCAAAGACCAAGAACCAAAGUGAAAAAGACGGUCAACUAUAAGGCUGCCGAUUGAAGUUGGCAGAGAUGUAAUUGAAUUGAUUCUUAAAAUCAAAAUUACAUUUUAAGGAUUAAAAGAACAAAGGAUAAAUUGAGGAUUGAUUUGAAAAUUGAUGUGUUUUGGCGCUGUUUUUUAUUUAAAUGAAUCAGCAUAUUUCAUCCAAAACGACGCCGUUUCAUGUUUAAAAAAAAAAGGAACAAAACAGUGUCGUUUGAAUGACUAUUCCUCCUCCUUCCCCUGGACGUGUAGCAUGACACCAUUCCUCCUCCUUCCCCUGGGACAUGCAGCAGGGGAAUGACACUAUUCCUCCAAAACAACAAUGACGCCGCAUUUAUAUAAAUUAAUUUUACAUGAAACAACUCAUGUAAAUAUCAACCAGAUAUCGUUAUCUCACAUAAAAAAAAAAUCAAGAAACAAUUCAUAUAAAUGAAUGCUAUAAAAAUAAUAUAUAAGGCAUUAAGUGUAAUAUUGUUAUCCCGUGUCUAAAAGUUAAUAUACAACCCAUGUGGAUAUAAACUAUAAAAAAAUAAAAUAUAAGACAUUAGUUAUCUCACAUAGAAAUUUUAGAAGAACAUUUCAAGUAGAUAUAAGCUACAUAUAAUUAUUCUAUAUAGAAAAAUUAAAAAAUAAUUAAUGUGAAUAUAAAGUAUAAAAAACAUAUGAGACUAGGUAUUCAUAAAGUAAUUUUAAGAUAUACAAGUCUCAACUUAAUUAGGCCAAGUCACUCGACUCACGAAUUAACUUAACCUCCAAAGGCGAGCCAGAUUUCUUAAUCAUGGUGUGCAGAGCAUCAAAUCUUUGACUCGUCAAGAUGCUAGACUUCAAAUAUAUUCUCCUAAGGGAAGAGUUUGAGGAUCACAACAAUUCUUUGUAAGUAAUUUAUUUAUCAAAGAAUUAAUACCUAAACUUAGUAAAAUCAUUAUGCCUCAAUAUUGUGCUUAGUAUCAUCAGUCAUCUACAAACCCUAGAUAUUCAAUGGUGUUAAUAUUAUCACCCAAUUAUUAUUAUUUUUUUCAUUUUUUGAACUUAAGAAUUAUUCUAAAAAACAUGUGACUUUAAGAAGUCAUAAAUCAUAUUGGUUAAUUUAUAUCUCAAAAAUACGGCAGAAUUUAACAAAAACAGCACAGUAACCAGUUCCCAAACAUUGUUUUUGCCUCACAAUACAGCACAGAACAGUAUAGUAACCACAACCCCGCAAAACAUAGAUUCUCCGCUUGCUCUCAAUCAAACUUCUUCAUCACUUUCUCACCUUUUAUCUGAAACUAUAGGUUAAUGAAUCAUUCAAUGUCAAAUAAAUAAAUCAAUUUAUAAAAAUUACAAGAAUAACCAAGGGAUCUCAUGCUUUUAUCUAUAAAACGAAAAAUUUUUAUUGAAAACCAUUUUGUUUGAUUUAAAAAUUAAUUAAUUGUUGGUUUUUACAACAAAAAGUUUAAUGUUUCUGGUUUCAAUUAUUAAAAAAAAAAACAGAACAAAACGAUUAAAUAAACAAUAGAUCGAGUAACCAUAAAAAUAAAAGCAUGAGAUCCAUCUACCAGGCACUUGGAGUUGGCCUAAGUUCGUGGGAACCAGAUCCAGCACAAGGCAACCAACCAUUUUCUGGUGAAGCACAAACCAAAACAACAUGCAAAAUGCAGGUGUUCAAGAUUUGUCGACAUAUUCUUUAGAGGUUAUAGUUUAAUUUGUUGAACCAAAGUCUUAUCAUAAAUAAGCUGACUCAACUGGAUUCUCACUCCCAUCCAUAACUGGGGAACAAGGGCUCCUCUGCACUAGGCUUCAGAUCUUGGAUUGUGCUAUUGAUCAUAGGCUAACAGAACACAACUGCUUUGACAUAUUUCCUUGCAUCUAAAAGCGUAAAUUCAUUGACAUUGGGUUUUGCAAGGCCUUGCAAAUCAUCCCCAUCUAGUUUCCAGUUUCUAUAGGCUACAGCUAAAUGCAUUCCAUACAUAUCUCCCUAACAACUUGAAUCUCAAAUAGCCAAACUCAGUCAUAACAAGCAAAUUAUUACUGUGAAGAUGACAACAGCAAAUCCAACCAGCAAGCAAAAAGAGUAAUAAUCAAAAGACAUGAAAUAAACAGAAUACAAAACAAAAUGAAAUGACUUCAAAAAAUUGAUUCAAAGGGAAAGAUUAUAUUUUCACCUGAAAUAGUUGAUGUCAAAUUUCAAGAACGGACCAAAACCAUGUUAUAAUUUUGUCAGAUUGUCUCCCUCAUAAAACCGACACAGUAUUCAUUCCCUUCCUAAAAUGGAUUCUCCUCUCCUAUAAUUGCAACAACCAAAGGAGAAGAAGCCAUUUUAGGAAGAGGAAUGAACAACGUGCCCAGAGAGAAAAAGAAGCAGCCAUGAACAAGGGAUUAGGGUUUUCCUUGCUUUCGAUCGUUUUUAUGCUUGCAUAUAUAUAGGGCGUACCUUUUACCCUCACGACC
rnacentral:lncRNA from 1 species